GACAUAGGUGGCGAACGUUAUCCGGAUUUAUUGGGCCUAAAGCAUCCGUAGCCGGUUCUACAAGUCUUCCGUUAAAUCCACCUGCUUAACAGAUGGGCUGCGGAGGAUACUAUGGAGCUAGGAGGCGGGAGAGGCAAGCGGUACUUAGUGGGUAGGGGUAAAAUCCGUUGAUCCAUUGAAGACCACCAGUGGCGAAGGCGGCUUGCCAGAACGCGCUCGACGGUGAGGGAUGAAAGCUGGGGGAGCAAACCGG
rnacentral:rRNA from 1 species